UUGAAUAAAAGUCAAAGAGAGACAAAUUAUUGUUAAUAAUUUAACUGAAAUUCCUUCUUAUUCA
rnacentral:tRNA from 1 species